rnacentral:antisense_RNA from 1 species
CAGUUUUGGUGACUGCGCUCCCUUUAAGCCAGUUACCUCGGUUCAAAGAGUUGCUGCUCUGAGAACCUUCGAGAAAACCGCCUUGCUGGGCGGUUUUUUCGU